rnacentral:rRNA from 1 species
GACGUAGGGCGCGAGCGUUGUCCGGAUUUAUUGGGCGUAAAGAGCUCGUAGGCGGUUUGUCGCGUCGUUCGUGAAAACUCACAGCUCAACUGUGAGCUUGCGGUCGAUACGGGCAGGCUAGAGUUCGGUAGGGGAGACUGGAAUUCCUGGUGUAGCGGUGAAAUGCGCAGAUAUCAGGAGGAACACCGGUGGCGAAGGCGGGUUGCUGGGCUGACACUGACGCUGAUGCGCGAAAGCCAGGGGAGCGAACGGG